GUGACCACCAUGUUGCUAUUCCUUCAGUGUACUUGAAAGGUUUCAGUAUGGAACUUUGGGAGGCAGAGGCAGGCGGAUCACCUGAGGUCGGAGUUUGAGACCAGCCUGAUCAACAUGGAGAAACCCGGUCACUACUAAAAAUACCAAAUUAUCCGUGGUGGUGUAUGCCUGUAAUCCCAGCUACCCGGGAGGCUGAGGCAGGAGAAUCGCUUGAACCCGGGAGGUGGAGGUUAUGGUCAGCCGAGAUCGCACCAUUGCACUCCAACCUGGGCAACAAGAGCAAAACUCUGCCUCAAAAAAAAAAAAGAAAAGAAAUAAUACAAUACCUUGUUAUUUACUACAGUCACCAUGUUGUACAAUAGAUCUCUUAAACAUGAAAGUUCAUGUCCUAUCUAACUGAAAUUUUUUAUUCUUUCACCAACAUUUCCACAACCCUCUCCCUCCCCCAGCCUUGGUAACCACCAUUCUACUCUCCAUUUCUAUGA
rnacentral:lncRNA from 1 species